UUGACAUGUCUGGAAUCCUGUAGAGAUACGGGAGUGCCUUCGGGAAUCAGAACACAGGUGCUGCAUGGCUGUCGUCAGCUCGUGCCGUGAGAUGUUGGGUUAAGUCCGCAACGAGCGCAACCCUUGUCCUUAGUUGCCAGCACGUAAUGGUGGGAACUCUAAGGAGACUGCCGGUGACAAACCGGAGGAAGGUGGGGAUGACGUCAAGUCAUCAUGGCCCUUACGGCCAGGGCUACACACGUACUACAAUGGUCGGUACAGAGGGUUGCAAUACCGCGAGGUGGAGCCAAUCCCAGAAAGCCGAUCCCAGUCCGGAUCGAAGUCUGCAACUCGACUUCGUGAAGUCGGAAUCGCUAGUAAUCGCGGAUCAGCUAUGCCGCGGUGAAUACGUUCCCGGGCCUUGUACACACCGCCCGUCACACCAUGGGAGUGAGCUGCUCCAGAAGCCGUUAGUCUAACCGCAAGGGGGACGACGACCACGGAGUGGUUCAUGACUGGGGUGAAGUCGUAACAAGGUAGGCGUAGACGU
rnacentral:rRNA from 1 species